rnacentral:ncRNA from 1 species
UCUUAUUGAAUUUUUUUGUUAAGAAAGCUUUAUUCUGGCUUGAAAUACUUUUUAUAAAAUUAUUUUACAUGUAAGUUUUAGUAAGAAAUAAAUAUUUAUUAAAUCUUAAAGAUUUUAAAUAUAUUUUAAGCGCAGUAUUUUACAUUAAGUAUCAAUGAAAAUUGGAGUUAGUAAAUUUUAUAGUUUUGGUAAAAUUUGUGCCAGCCACCGCGGUUAAACAAAAGAGGCUAAAAAGUAUUAUUAGUUAUAGUUAAUUUUAAAUUAUAAAGUUUAUUAAUAGUGUUGUUGUUAGGUGAAAUUUUAAAAUGUGUCAUAAAACUUAAAAUAUUAUUAAAUGAAGCUAUGAAAGUUAGAAAAUAAACUAGGAUUAGAUACCCUACUAUUCUAAAAGUAAAGUGAUUACCUAGAGUAGUAACAGUUAUAAUCUUGAAACUUAAAGAAUUUGGCGGUGUUUUAGUCUUUUCAGAGGAACCUGUUUCGUAAUCGAUAAUCCGCGUUUUACCUUACUUAAGUUAUUAAUAUGUAUACCGUCGUCAUCAGAAUGUCUUAGAAGAGAAUUUAAUUUUCUUAAUUUAUAAUUAUAAUUAAUGUCAGAUCAAGGUACAGUUUAUAUUUAAGUGAAAAUGGGUUACAUUAAUUGAAUUUAUAUGAAUUAAGAAUUGAAAUAUUUUUAUGAAAGUGGAUUUGAUAGUAAAUAAAUAAAUUAUAUUUUAUUGAUUUUAGCUCUAAAACAUGCACACAUCGCCCGUCGCUCUCGUUAUUUAAAAUGAGAUAAGUCGUAACAUAGUAGACGUACUGGAAAGUGUGUCUAGAAAGA